GAUGAACGCUAGCUACAGGCUUAACACAUGCAAGUCGAGGGGCAGCACAGUGUAGCAAUACAUGGGUGGCGACCGGCGCACGGGUGCGUAACGCGUAUCCAACCUUCCCGUUACUCAGGGAUAGCCUUCCGAAAGGGAGAUUAAUACCUGAUGGUGUUGAAAUUCCGCAUGUUAUUUCAACUAAAGAUUUAUCGGUAACGGAUGGGGAUGCGUGACAUUAGAUAGUAGGCGGGGUAACGGCCCACCUAGUCUACGAUGUCUAGGGGUUCUGAGAGGAAGGUCCCCCACACUGGAACUGAGACACGGUCCAGACUCCUACGGGAGGCAGCAGUGAGGAAUAUUGGUCAAUGGUCGGAAGACUGAACCAGCCAAGUAGCGUGAAGGAUGAAGGUUCUAUGGAUUGUAAACUUCUUUUAUACGGGAAUAACACCAUCUACGUGUAGAUGCCUGCAUGUACCCGCAGAAUAAGGACCGGCUAAUUCCGUG
rnacentral:rRNA from 1 species